AUGUUUAUAAAAUGUAAUUCGUUAAUUCAAGGUAAUGUUAAAAUUCAUAGUAAUAGAAAUAAGUUAUAUAAAUCCAAGAUAGGUGAUAAUAUAUAUGAAGAGGGUAUAAGUACAUUAGAUAGCAAUCUAAUAAAUCAAGUUUUGAAUAAAAAGAUGCAGAAUGAAUUAUAUAAUAAACAUAAUUUAUUUUUAGAAAUAUCCAAUAAUCAAAUUGAUUACCCAAUAGAUUGUGUAUAUUUAGAAAAAGAAGUAAGAAAACUUAUAAAUUUAUUAAAAUUCCAAAACUAUAAUUUAACUAUAACUUUUGUAACUUCAAAAGAAAUGAAAAUUAUAAAUAAAAAAUACCAUAAUAAGAAUGAACCUACUGAUGUUAUAUCCAUUUUGUCUUACAUAAACGAUUAUAAUGAAAUGGAAACAAAAAGUGAUAAUAAAAUGAUUGAUAUACCUAAAUUUAAAUCAGGAGAUAUUUAUUUAUGUCCAGAUUAUAUUCAAAAAGAGUGUACUAUUUCAAGAAUAAAAUAUGAAAAGGCUUUAAUAAAUGAAAAAAGUAAUAAUAAUAAUACAAAUAUAAAUUACCACAAUGACACAGAAGUCAAUAUUAAUAACAGUAGUUGCAAUAACUGUGAACAAGACGAACAAAAAAACUUAAGAGGUAUUAACAAAUUAUUUCAAAAACUUUUUAAUCUAAACGAAAGAUUACCAUUUUAUGUUUUACACGCUUUUAUACAUUUAAUGGAAAAAGAUCAUGUAAAUAAUUCAAAUGAAUAUAAUGAAUUUAUGAAUAUAGAAGAACAAUAUAUUUCAAAAUUUUUAAAAUACCAUAAAUAUACACAAACUUCUUUUGCACAUCACAUAAUUGGAAUUGGAUGUGAUAUAGUAAAUGUUGAUAGAGUUUAUAAUAUUCUUAUAAAAGAAGAAGAAAGAAAAAAAAAAAAAUUUUUAAAAAAAGUUUUAAAUUUAAUGGAAUUGAAUGUAUUACAUUCUAAAGAAAAAAAACAUAUUUUAAAUAAGGAUAAUAUACAAGAGCUUGCUAUUUAUGUAAGCAAAAAAUUUGCUGCAAAAGAAGCUAUAGUUAAAGCGAUAGGACGAGGUUUAAGCUUUUUAUCAAAAUAUGGUCUAAGUAUGAAUGAAAUAGAAAUCAGAAAUGAUGUAUAUGGUAAACCGCAAGUUUAUUUAUAUGAUAAGGCAAAAGAAGUAGCUAAUAAAAUGGGCAUAGUUAAUAUAUUUUUAUCAAUAAGUGAUGAAAAAAUUAAAUGUAACCGUUAUAGUGACAUAAAAAACUCGCAGAUAAAACCUAGUGAUGUUUUUAUGUACUUUGUUAAUGCCCAAGCACUUGCAAUUGGAUGUAAUGCGUAG
rnacentral:lncRNA from 1 species